UUGGGUGAAAUCAAUGUGGGUCCUACACUUUGGAAAUGGGACCCCGCAUAAAGUGGUGGGACCUACAUUGAUUUCACCCAA
rnacentral:pre_miRNA from 1 species